GAUGAACGCUGGCGGCGUGCCUAAUACAUGCAAGUCGAGCGAACGGACGAGAAGCUUGCUUCUCUGAUGUUAGCGGCGGACGGGUGAGUAACACGUGGAUAACCUACCUAUAAGACUGGGAUAACUUCGGGAAACCGGAGCUAAUACCGGAUAAUAUUUUGAACCGCAUGGUUCAAAAGUGAAAGACGGUCUUGCUGUCACUUAUAGAUGGAUCCGCGCUGCAUUAGCUAGUUGGUAAGGUAACGGCUUACUAAGGCAACGAUGCAUAGCCGACCUGAGAGGGUGAUCGGCCACACUGGAACUGAGACACGGUCCAGACUCCUACGGGAGGCAGCAGUAGGGAAUCUUCCGCAAUGGGCGAAAGCCUUACGGAGCAACGCCGCGUGAGUGAUGAAGGUCUUCGGAUCGUAAAACUCUGUUAUUAGGGAAGAACAUAUGUGUAAGUAACUGUGCACAUCUUGACGGUACCUAAUCAGAAAGCCACGGCUAACUACGUG
rnacentral:rRNA from 1 species